GUCUAGUACUCAGAGUUUGAUCCUGGCUCAGGAUGAACGCUGGCGGCGUGCCUAAUACAUGCAAGUCGAGCGAACAGACAAGGAGCUUGCUCCUUUGACGUUAGCGGCGGACGGGUGAGUAACACGUGGGUAACCUACCUAUAAGACUGGGAUAACUUCGGGAAACCGGAGCUAAUACCGGAUAAUAUUUCGAACCGCAUGGUUCGAUAGUGAAAGAUGGUUUUGCUAUCACUUAUAGAUGGACCCGCGCCGUAUUAGCUAGUUGGUAAGGUAACGGCUUACCAAGGCAACGAUACGUAGCCGACCUGAGAGGGUGAUCGGCCACACUGGAACUGAGACACGGUCCAG
rnacentral:rRNA from 1 species